rnacentral:misc_RNA from 1 species
GAUGAAGAACGUAGCGAAAUGCGAUAAGUAAUGUGAAUUGCAGAAUUCAGUGAAUCAUCGAAUCUUUGAACGCAUCUUGCGCUCCUUGGUAUUCCUUGGAGCAUGCCUGUUUGAGUAUCAUGAGCAAAUCUCAAAGUCAAUUCCUUUUGUUGAUUCAAUUGGUUUUGCUUUGGACUUGGAGGCCUUGCAGAUUUCACAGUCUGCUCCUCUUAAAUGCAUUAGCUGGAUCUCAGUAAUUAUGCUUGGUUCCACUCGGCGUGAUAAGUAUCACUCGCUGAGGACACUGUUAAAAAGGUGGCCAGGAAAAUACUGAUUGAACCGCUUCUAACGGUCUAUUAAGUUAGACAAUUACCCUUAAGUUUGAUCUCAAAUCAGGUAGGACUACCCGCUGAACUUAAGCAUAUCAUAAGCGAGGA